GCUCAGAUUGAACGCUGGCGGCAGGCCUAACACAUGCAAGUCGAGCGGUAACAUUUCUAGCUUGCUAGAAGAUGACGAGCGGCGGACGGGUGAGUAAUGCUUGGGAAUAUGCCUUAGGGUGGGGGACAACAGUUGGAAACGACUGCUAAUACCGCAUAACGUCUACGGACCAAAGGGGGCUUCGGCUCUCGCCCUUAGAUUAGCCCAAGUGGGAUUAGCUAGUUGGUGAGGUAAUGGCUCACCAAGGCGACGAUCCCUAGCUGGUUUGAGAGGAUGAUCAGCCACACUGGAACUGAGACACGGUCCAGACUCCUACGGGAGGCAGCAGUGGGGAAUAUUGCACAAUGGGCGCAAGCCUGAUGCAGCCAUGCCGCGUGUGUGAAGAAGGCCUUAGGGUUGUAAAGCACUUUCAGUAAGGAGGAAAGGUUAGUAGUUAAUACCUGCUAGCUGUGACGUUACUUACAGAAGAAGCACCGGCUAACUCCGUGCCAGCAGCCGCGGUAAUACGGAGGGUGCGAGCGUUAAUCGGAAUUACUGGGCGUAAAGCGUACGCAGGCGGUUUGUUAAGCGAGAUGUGAAAGCCCCGGGCUCAACCUGGGAACUGCAUUUCGAACUGGCAAACUAGAGUAUGAUAGAGGGUGGUAGAAUUUCAGGUGUAGCGGUGAAAUGCGUAGAGAUCUGAAGGAAUACCGAUGGCGAAGGCAGCCACCUGGGUCAAUACUGACGCUCAUGUACGAAAGCGUGGGGAGCAAACGGGAUUAGAUACCCCGGUAGUCCACGCCGUAAACGAUGUCUACUAGGAGCUGGGGUCUUCGGACAACUUUUCCAAAGCUAACGCAUUAAGUAGAC
rnacentral:rRNA from 1 species